AUGGCGCGGCUCCGGGCGGCCGUGACCCUGCUGGAGUCCGGGGGGGACCUCCAGCCCCCCGGGGGGUCCCUGCGCCUCCUCUGCCGAGGGUCUGGCUUCGAUUUUGGCAGUUUCACCACGUACUGGGUUCGCCAGAGACCCGGGCAGGCCCUGGAGUGGCUCGCGGGGAUCAGCACUGGUGGCAGCACCGCCUACGCGCCCUCGGUGCAGGGCCGGGUCAGGAUCUCCAGGGACAACGGGCAGAGCUCGGUGACGCUGACCGUGAACAACCUCAAGGAUGAGGAUUCCAGAUCCUAUUUCUGUGCCAAAAACACUUAUGAUGGUGCUGGUUGGGAAACUCAUGCUAGUUCUUUUUUUGGCCAUGUCCCCAUCAAUGUGUCCCCACCUGUUCCCAAAUCCCCGAUUAUUCCCUCUCACGCUUGA